ACAUGCAAGUCGAACGGUAACAGGAAGCAGCUUGCUGCUUYGCUGACGAGUGGCGGACGGGUGAGUAAUGUCUGGGAAACUGCCUGAUGGAGGGGGAUAACUACUGGAAACGGUGGCUAAUACCGCAUAACGUCGCAAGACCAAAGAGGGGGACCUUCGGGCCUCUUGCCAUCAGAUGUGCCCAGAUGGGAUUAGCUUGUUGGUGAGGUAACGGCUCACCAAGGCGACGAUCCCUAGCUGGUCUGAGAGGAUGACCAGCCACACUGGAACUGAGACACGGUCCAGACUCCUACGGGAGGCAGCAGUGGGGAAUAUUGCACAAUGGGCGCAAGCCUGAUGCAGCCAUGCCGCGUGUAUGAAGAAGGCCUUCGGGUUGUAAAGUACUUUCAGCGGGGAGGAAGGU
rnacentral:rRNA from 1 species